CCUUUGUACACACCGCCCGUCGCUACUACCGAUUGAAUGGCUCAGUGAGGCCUUCGGACUGGCUCAGGAAGAUGGGCAACUAUCAUCCAGAGCCGGAAAGUUGGUCAAACUUGGUCAUUUAGAGG
rnacentral:rRNA from 1 species